rnacentral:rRNA from 1 species
UACGUAGGCAGCGAGCGUUGUUCGGAGUUACUGGGCGUAAAGGGUGUGUAGGCGGUUCUUUAAGUUUGGUGUGAAAUCUCCCGGCUCAACCGGGAGGGUGCGCCGAAUACUGAGGGACUAGAGUGCGGGAGAGGAAAGUGGAAUUCCUGGUGUAGCGGUGAAAUGCGUAGAUAUCAGGAGGAACACCUGCGGUGUAGACGGCUUUCUGGACCAUAGCUGACGCUGAGACACGAAAGCGUGGGUAGCAAACAGG